UGUUAGCAAAAAUUUUUUUUUACUCUCGAGUUAGCAUUUUCCCAUAUUGUCAUGGCUUUAGCUCAAUUUGAGUAAAAACUACUCACUUGCUACUAUUUUCAGUAUUUUCAUUAGCACCGACUCAAACCAUUUGUCUGCGCUCGAAACGUGUUCGUUCCCGAUGGUGCGGUUUGUUUUGAUAAGUUAUUGUUUUGAAUCGUGUUCCCGUAAAACUUUAAAAGUUGUGUUUCUGGUUAACGAAAUCAUCUUCCGGAGUGGCAACGAACAGCCGGUGGUUUUGGCCGAGCCCUAAGAUGACAAUUUUGUAUCGAGGCGGUCAAUUUGGAAGGUAGAGCCAAAGAUUGUUAUGUAAAAACAACAUUAUGUCGCCCCGGAUCUAUCUUUGGGUCAUCUUCAUUUUGUAUUCAGCUCGCUUCCGGCAACUGAUCAACGUACCGCCCGUGGAUUUUUCCGUAAUAUGUAAAGAUUGAACAAAAUAAUGGUCACAACUCGAAAUGAAACUUGAAACCUAUAUGAAGGCUUAUUUUGUUUCGCAUCACAGGCCCCACUUUGUUUCGGCAAAAAAGGAAGCUCCAGCAAUACACCUGAUGGAAACAGGCGUAAAUCGAUCCAUUCCAGAAUCCUCGAUCGGCAAUCAAAUAUUCUGGCAUUUUUUCCUUUCAUCGGCCUCUGCUUGCUAUUCUUUUUCUUCGAAUCUACCAGCUAAACGAAUUCACGACAAGGCAGCGAAUUUAUGCAUAUCCGUGAUAGGAACAUGUCAAACGAGCGAUCUGACGAGAAGGAUGAUAACGAAAACAAUUUGCUCUAUUUAUGAUUGAAAUAGACAUAUACAAUAUCCUGAUUGAUCAAACCGUUACUCCUGGAGGCGUUUUUAAAGUGGAUUUUCCCCCAAGUUAUAAUACGCCUUUUCGAAUUGUAAAUAAUUUUGUUUCGCAGAUUUUACCCAUAAAAACCUAGUCAACCUACCAGUGAAAAACUAAUGCAAACGGUCAGAAUGCUACCCGUGGAAAAAUGGGUGCCGCUGGAUAAUUGGAAUAACACUCGUUACACUGGAUUUAAUUCAAGAAUAUCACAAUAUAGAUUGGUCAAUUCUUUUCUAUCCUACCACGUACAGCUAUCUCAACCAUGGAGACUGUUUCCAUAAGUCAGUGUAAUGCAAAAAAUUAAAAUUUUGAUUGAUAUUCCAUUGUCAUGAAAUUCGAUUAGGCAAUCCAUUUGUGCAAACGGUGGCGUACGUGGUCAUGGGAUAGGUCUAAGGAAUCUGCAACAUGGGGCCGAUGGAAGCGAUAUGGUCAAUACGCUGGUGGUCGAUUUUGGAGACGUAAAGAAUAUCGACAAAGUGAAUAAGAAUAAAUUUGAAGUAUUGAUCGUAAAUUGUGAUAAAAAUGAAUGUGAUUAUAAUCUGUAAGUUGGGCG